AGAACGAACGCUGGCGGCAUGCCUAACACAUGCAAGUCGAACGAGACCUUCGGGUCUAGUGGCGCACGGGUGCGUAACGCGUGGGAAUCUGCCCUUGGGUUCGGAAUAACAGCGAGAAAUUGCUGCUAAUACCGGAUGAUGACGUAAGUCCAAAGAUUUAUCGCCCAAGGAUGACGCCCGCGUAGGAUUAGUCUUGUUGGUGAGGUAAGAGCUCACCAAGGCGACGAUCCUAGCUGGUCUGAGAGGAUGAUCAGCCACACGUGGGACUGACGACCGACCGGCCCAGACCUCCGUACGGGA
rnacentral:rRNA from 1 species